CAACUAAAGAGAUUUCUAUGUAUUUCUAUGUAAAAACAGCUGGGGGUUACUAAUCUACAAUAAGGUGUCUGCUGUAAACACAGCUGGGGGUUACUAAUCUACAAUAAGGUGUCUGCUGUAAACACACAGCUGGGGGUUACUAAUCUACAAUAAGGUGUCUGCUGUAAACACAGCUGGGGGUUACUAAUCUACAAUAAGGUGUCUGCUGUAAACACAGCUGGGGGUUACUAAUCUACAAUAAGGUGUCUGCUGUAAACACACAGCUGGGGGUUACUAAUCUACAAUAAGGUGUCUGCUGUAAACACACAGCUGGGGGUUACUAAUCUACAAUAAGGUGUCUGCUGUAAACACAGCUGGGGGUUACUAAUCUACAAUAAGGUGUCUGCUGUAAACACACAGCUGGGGGUUACUAAUCUACAAUAAGGUGUCUGCUGUAAACACAGCUGGGGGUUACUAAUCUACAAUAAGGUGUCUGCUGUAAACACACAGCUGGGGGUUACUAAGCUACAAUAAGGUGUCUGCUGUAAACACACAGCUGGGAGUUACUAAUCUACAAUAAGGUGUCUGCUGUAAACACACAGCUGGGGGUUACUAAUCUACAAUAAGGUGUCUGCUGUAAACACACAGCUGGGAGUUACUAAUCUACAAUAAGGUGUCUGCUGUAAACACACAGCUGGGGGUUACUAAUCUACAAUAAGGUGUCUGCUGUAAACACACAGCUGGGGGUUACUAAUCUACAAUAAGGUGUCUGCUGUAAACACACAGCUGGGGGUUACUAAUCUACAAUAAGGUGUCUGCUGUAAACACACAGCUGGGGGUUACUAAUCUACAAUAAGGUGUCUGCUGUAAACACACAGCUGGGGGUUACUAAUCUACAAUAAGGUGUCUGCUGUAAACACACAG